CCUGCAACCCAGGUACAUGCCCUUGACCGGAAUCGAACCCGGGACCCUUCAGUCCGCAGGCCCGACGCUCUAUCCACUGAACCACACCGGCCAGGGCAGGUUUGGGAUUUCCUGACCCUGCAGCCGGGAAGGCGGCCAGAGUCGCCUCAUGUACUUGUCAGCUGCGUGCGGCCUCGCGGAAGGGCAGAUGCCACAAUCUCCUUCUUGGAGCCGCUGUCAGCCUGUGUUUGACCCCCCCUCCUCCCCAUUGGACGGUGGCCUGCAUUGGUGUCUGGGACUCUCAUGCUCUGACGUUGAUUUUACAAACUGAUUUCCUAGGGAACAGCACCUACGUUGCAGAGUCCAGUGGUUCUCAACCUUCUGGCCCUUUAAAUACAGUUCAUGUUGUGGUGACCCCCAACCACAAAAUCAUUUUCGUUGCUGCUUCAUAACUGUCAUGUUGCUACUGUUAUGAAUCGUCAUGUAAAUAUCUGAUAUGCAGGAUGGUCUGAGGCGACCCCUGUGAAAGGGUCAUUGGACCACUAAAGGGGGCAGACCCACAGGUUGAGAACCACUGCUGCAGACUCGGUUCCCUGAGUUGGGGAAGGGGCGGCUCGGGGAGCCCCAGAACCUGUGUCGCCGUCUGCGGGCCUGUGUGCAGACUGAGCAGUUGGGUCUGUGCUUUCUGCUCUGGGCAGAACUCCUGUGACCAACAGCCCCACCGAGGCCGGAGGAGCUGUGGGCGGGACCUGGAGGGUCAGAUGCCCCCGGGCUGGGAGCUCAGCUGGCGAUGGAGCAUCCUCCCGACAAAGCUGUGCUUCCAUCCGGGUCCGGGACGGACAAGAAUCACCGAUGAAUGCAUAAGUGGACCAACACAUGGAUGCUUUCCUCUCCGUUUAAAAAUCAAUCAAUAAAAAUAUACGGUCACAUGA